rnacentral:rRNA from 1 species
AUACGUAGGGGGCGAGCGUUGUCCGGAAUGAUUGGGCGUAAAGGGCGCGUAGGCGGCCCGGUAAGUCUGGAGUGAAAGUCCUGUUUUUAAGAUGGGAAUUGCUUUGGAUACUGUCGGGCUUGAGUGCAGGAGAGGUAAGUGGAAUUCCCAGUGUAGCGGUGAAAUGCGUAGAGAUUGGGAGGAACACCAGUGGCGAAGGCGACUUACUGGACUGUAACUGACGCUGAGGCGCGAAAGUGUGGAGCAAACAGGAUUAGAUCCCCUGGUAGUCCACACUGUAAACGAUGAAUGCUAGGUGUAGGGGGUAUCGACCCCUUCUGUGCCGCAGUCAACACAAUAAGCAUUCCGCCUGGGGAGUACGGCCGCAAGGUUGAAACUCAAAGGAAUUGACGGGG